GACUUGGUGGCGCAACGGUAGCGCGUCAGAUUCCAAAGCAAGGCGGUAUUACAACCUGUCUUCUGGACCAUCUGUAGGUUGCAGGUUCGAAUCCUGUCCGGGUCG